UUUUGCCCUUGGGCCAUCUGCAACCAGACAGCAAUAAACUCUUUGCUAGUUGCUUGAACUUUGCCUGCCUCAGUAGUCUCAAUUUUGUCUGUCUGAUCUUACAGGAACGAGAGAGUCUAUUUAUAAUUAUGCAUCCAUUUGUUGACUCCCUAUAAGGAAGGUAAAUGCAGUUGGACAAAGAUUGAUUCUGGAAAGGUUACCUGGGCAUUUAGUUGAUCUUACCUGAAUAUCUUGACCCAACUCCUCCUCUAGUCAGCUGUGUUGAGUCUCCUAGACAGAUUUCUUAAACACUUUGGGAGAUGAAUGCCUGAAAGGAGAUGAUACUUUGAAG
ensembl:lncRNA